rnacentral:rRNA from 1 species
AGCGAACGCUGGCGUCAGGCCUAACACAUGCAAGUCGAACGAACCUUUCGGGGUUAGUGGCGGACGGGUGAGUAACACGUGGGAACGUGCCUUUAGGUUCGGAAUAACUCAGGGAAACUUGUGCUAAUACCGAAUGUGCCCUUCGGGGGAAAGAUUUAUCGCCUUUAGAGCGGCCCGCGUCUGAUUAGCUAGUUGGUUGAGGUAAUGGCUCACCAAGGCGACGAUCAGUAGCUGGUCUGAGAGGAUGAUCAGCCACAUUGGGACUGAGACACGGCCCAAACUCCUACGGGAGGCAGCAGUGGGGAAUCUUGCGCAAUGGGCGAAAGCCUGACGCAGCCAUGCCGCGUGAAUGAUGAAGGUCUUAGGAUUGUAAAAUUCUUUCACCGGGGACGAUAAUGACGGUACCCGGAGAAGAAGCCCCGGCUAACUUCGUG